rnacentral:rRNA from 1 species
GAUGAACGCUGGCGGCGUGCUUAACACAUGCAAGUCGAACGAAUCACGUUAUUUGAUUUCCUUCGGGAAGGAUUAGUUUGAGAGUGAGUGGCGGACGGGUGAGUAACGCGUGGGUAACGUGCCUUGUUCAGGGGGAUAACGGUAGGAACGGGUAGAUAUUACCGCAUAAGGGCACAGCAUCGAAUGGUGCAGUGGGAAAACCUCGGGUGGGAUAGGAUGGACCCGCGUUGGAUGAGCUAGUUGGUGCGGUAACGGCCCACCAAGGCGACGAUCCAUAGACGAGCACAGAGAGUGACCGCCCACAUUGGGACUGAGCCACGGCCGAAACUCCUACGGGAGGCAGCAGUGGGGAAUAUUGCACAAUGGGCGAAAGGCUGAUGCAGCUACGCCGCGUGAGCGAAGUAGUAUUUCGGUAUGUAAAGCUCUAUCAGCAGGGAAGAUAAUGACGGUACCUUACUAAGAAGCACCGGCUAAAUACGUG